UCCGGCCUCAAUUCCGUAGUGCAUUGCAGUGUAGAACGUUACAAGCACGACUGCAAGCAUUGUGGGAGUGAAGUCGCCCG
rnacentral:pre_miRNA from 1 species